UACAGUAACUUUCUCCAGGGACUAGGAACCAUUGGAGGAACUCAGUGCGUUUCCACCAGGGGCCAGGGUCUGAAUAUUAAGUUCCGGGGACAUUAUUUUACCCCCCAAAAGGUCCCUGCUCAGGGGGUAGUACUUUUAAAAAGUAGAGGAACUUUCGGGGUGGGGCUUGCUGCGCUGAAUAUGUCUGAUUGGUCGAGCCACUACCGGCGGAGCAGAAAGUGGUUUGACCGUCUGGAUCGAUGUGUUGCUGGGUCACAGGCCAGCCUUCUCUGGCGCAGCGGCUCAGCUACUGCGCUGUUGGAAGCUGUGGUGGAAGAAUGGAUGACGGUUGUCGGUUGAAGAUGAAACGGGCGAGCACACUGAACUGCAGGCUGCAGAGACCAGCGUGUUUACUCCUGCAGCCCUCGUUCCAUGCCUCCUACUGAAGCACACAAAUGCUGUAUUUUACACAUUUAUAUUUCUGCAGAUAAAUAAAUAGUUGUGGAAACAAA